AUGCUUAGCUUUGUCCACCCCAGCUGUAAAACUCAGAAACCAGUCUUACUUGUUAUCAUCUAUCGUCCACCUGGGCCUUACACAGAGUUUCUCUCUGAUUUCUCAGACUUUUUAUCUGAUUUAGUGCUCAGCUCAGAUAAAAUAAUUAUUGUGGGUGAUUUUAACAUCCAUGUAGAUGCUAAAAAUGACAGCCUCAACAUCGCAUUUAAUCUGUUAUUAGACUCAAUUGGCUUCUCUCAAAAUGUAAAAGAACCCACCCACCACUUUAAUCACACUCUAGAUCUUGUUUUAACAUAUGGCAUAGAAACUGAACAUUUAACAGUGUUUCCUGAAAACCCUCUGCUGUCUGAUCAUUUCCUGAUAACAUUUACAUUUACAAUAACUGAUUACACAGCAGUGGAGAGUAGACUUUAUCAAAGUAGAUGUCUUUCUGAAAGUGCUGUAACUAAGUUUAAGAAUAUAAUCCACCCACUGUUAUCAUCUUCAAUGCCCUGUACCAACAUAGAGCAGAGCAGCUAUCUGAACGCUACUCCAACAGAGGUCGAUUAUCUUGUUAAUAAUUUUACCUCCUCACUACGUACGACUCUGGAUACUGUAGCUCCUGUGAAAACUAAGGUCUCAAAUCAGAAGUACCUGACUCCGUGGUAUAAUUCUCAAACACGUAGCCUAAAGCAGAUGACUCGUAAGCUGGAGAGGAAAUGGCGUGUCACAAAUUUAGAGGAUCAUCAUUUAGCCUGGAGAAAUAGUUUGCUGCUUUAUAAGAAAGCCCUCCGCAAAGCCAGAACAUCUUACUAUUCGUCACUGAUUGAAGAAAAUAAGAACAACCCCAGGUUUCUCUUCAGCACUGUAGCCAGGCUGACAAAAAGUCAGAGCUCUACUGAGCCAACAAUCCCUUUAACGUUAACUAGUAAUGACUUCAUGAACUUCUUCACAAAUAAAAUUUUUAUCAUUAGAGAAAAAAUUACCAAUAAUCAUCCCACAGAUGUAAUAUUAUCUACAGCUACUUUUAGUACCAUCGAUGUUAAGUUAAACUCUUUUUCUCCAAUUGAUCUUUCUGAGUUAACUUCAAUAAUUACUUCCUCCAAACCAUCAACGUGUCUUUCAGACCCCAUUCCUACAAAACUGCUCAAAGAAGUCCUGCCAUUAAUUAAUUCUUCGAUCUUAAGUAUGAUCAACCUAUCUCUAAUAAUCGGCUAUGUACCACAGGCCUUCAAGCUGGCUGUAGUUAAACCUUUACUCAAAAAGCCAUCUCUAGACUGCUCGACGUUUGACCUCAACCACUGCCUGGGCUGUCAGCCAUGCCUGGAAUGGGUUCCUGCUUCUCACUGGGCCUCUGAAGAUUUCUCAGGAGAUUCCUUUCAGCAACACUUUGACUGCUGCACCUGUAUUUCCUUGCUAGGAGGAAAAACUUCUAUUUGGAGAGCAUGUCAGUCAUCAUUAAACCACAUUCUUUAG
ensembl:lncRNA